GGGAGUAGUUCAGUGGUAGAGCACUUGCCUAGGAGUGCAAGGCCCUGGGUUCAAUCACCAGUACCG
rnacentral:tRNA from 1 species